rnacentral:lncRNA from 1 species
CAGAGAGUGGCCUUGAGAAAAUCCCUGUCAUAUGCUCUCUGGGAUUUGGACUUAAAUCCUAAUUAUACAGCCUGGUGAAAAAUUUCUGGCUGCCCAUGUGAAUGAGAGGCCUAGUUUAGGACUGCACAGAAAGUAAUGGCAAUUCUCAGAUGGGUUGUGUGUCAUGAAAUCUGGACUACGGCUGUCAACCCCAGCUAGGACACAAUCUGGGAGCACACAAGAAGAGUGUGGAGAAAAAUGGAAGAUAUUCACAGAGUCAUGCCUGACACACAUUAAGUAUCCAAUAAGAAUUUAUUGAUCAGUGAAUGAAUGCAUGCAUGGAGAAUAACUGAUCUACACUCUAAGGAAACUGGUAAGAGUAUGAAGUUGAAUUAAACUUUAUAUAGGGAGGAAUCCACAUUAGACAUUUAAUAGAAGUUUUUGAUGAAGUUCUUUUUAUUGUUUUUCAACUAAAAAAGGGAUACCUAUCAUUCAUUCUAAGUA